AUGUCAUGCAAACAACGCAAAACUCAGACCAAUGGAUCCACUCCUCAUGUCUAUUUCCAUACACAAAUUGCUUUUUUCGCCAACUUGAGCAGCUCUAAAUGUAUUCAUGGAGAUCUAUAUGGCUUCCUUCUUCUCUGCACUUGCAUAGGUUUCCGAGCUCCAUCAGUGGUUGCACCCGCGUCGUCUCCCCUCAUUUUAACUAUAGCUAUUCCCGAGGUACCCCCGCGUCGUCUCGCGCAGGCGACUCGGGGGCGAUUAGGUUUUCCCCCGAGCGCCGCCACCCUCGUCUGCCUCCCCUCGUCGCCGUCACCGGCGGCCUCCGGCCGGCCCGCAGCGGCGGCGGGACCCCUUCCACCUCCUCCUCCGUCCAUCCCCGCGUUGGUCCCCCUACCUGCUCGCCUCCUCUCCUCGUCCGGUGGGCUGCUUCCUCUUGGAGCGGUCAGAUCUGGAUCAUGCUGUUGCAGUGCUUGGAGGGGGUCGGUCUGGGAUGGGGCCUCGGAGUGGUGCUCGUUGCGGUGGCUGGAGCGGCCGGCUUCGCGCGAGCUGCUCGCCUCUUCGGAGAUGGGUGAGCGUGGCCCUUUGGAUCUGGGGCGGCGGCCCUUCCGGCGAGACUCCAUUGGCUUGACCGGUGCUCGUUGGUGCUGCCGUUCUUCUUCGAACGCGGGGGCGGCAGGUGGCGGCUGUGGUGCGGGCGUCUCAGCGGCGCCCGAUCCAGAUCUGAAGGCCUCCGUCUACUUCAACCAGGGCUGCCUCCGAUGGUCCUGCUUUGGGCGGCCUUUGUCGCCGGAGUUGUACCUGUAUGGUGGCUGGAGGUGGGAGGUGGCUCCGGAGAAAUCCGAGGCCAGCAGUGCUGGUCACGACGGCGGAGACGCCCGAGGGCGCCAUACCCUUCUUGUAGGCAACGUCCAGGUCUCCUCCUUCCCCUCUUCCUUCCACCCAGCUCGUAUGCCAGGCGAAAGCCCAAAUCCUUGCCGGAUCGAGCGACAGCGGCGCUCCGGGCGUCAGCACCCUCUUGAGGGUGUCGUUCGUGGUGAGCUUGGAUGGAUGUGA
rnacentral:rRNA from 1 species